rnacentral:lncRNA from 1 species
AAAAAACCAGACACUUGAAUUUAUUUAUAGAUUUCAUUUCCUUGUUUAUUGAGCAAUUCACUUUACAUAUACUCAAUGUUUUGUCAUCAUCAAAAAGGGGAAGAUUGUGGAGUGAUUGAUUAAAACCCUAUUUGAUUUUGAUGAGCUCAAAGCAUUUGAGUAUAUCUUUUGUUUACUAAUGAAUUCAAUUGAGUGUUUUAGUGAAAAUCUUGUCUAAGU